UGGGGAAUUUUGGACAAUGGGGGAAACCCUGAUCCAGCCAUCCCGCGUGUGCGAUGAAGGCCUUCGGGUUGUAAAGCACUUUUGUCAGGAAAGAAACGUCAUGGGUUAAUACCCCGUGAAACUGACGGUACCUGCAGAAUAAGCACCGGCUAACUACGUGCCAGCAGCCGCGGUAAUACGUAGGGUGCAAGCGUUAAUCGGAAUUACUGGGCGUAAAGCGUGCGCAGGCGGUUCGGAAAGAAAGAUGUGAAAUCCCAGAGCUCAACUUUGGAACUGCAUUCUUAACUACCGGGCUAGAGUGUGUCAGAGGGGAGUGGAAUUCCGCGUGUAGCAGUGAAAUGCGUAGAUAUGCGGAGGAACACCGAUGGCGAAGGCAGCCUCCUGGGAUAACACUGACGCUCAUGCACGAAAGCGUGGGGAGCAAACAGG
rnacentral:rRNA from 1 species